CCAUAUAUGCAGUUGUUCCAGGUAACUGUAAAUUUAUGAAGCUACUCAAACAUUUGAGUAUACUAAUAGAAGGACCUUAAAAUUUAGAAACUGAAACUAAGGCCUUGAUUAUGUAACUUAGGAAGUAGAGAAAAAAAUCGCCUUUGACACUUACUACCAAACAAGUCAAUUUUUGCCCUUCCUGUCAAGUUCCCUAGCUCACUUACCCCAGCCAAACAAGGCCUAAACCCUGGAAAAACUUUGAGGUUCCAGAAACCCAUUAAAGCUAUCCCAGAAUUCAACGACAUUCAAAGGCAAAAACCCACAUUUCUACAGUAACAGCUCAGUAAAACCCAUUCAACAGCAAAAAUAUACAACACACAUUUUCGGUGAAAAUUACUCAGCAAAGUACAUAAGAAUAAUCCUCACAGCAUAGUUCUAAAUAAAAAAAAAAUUGGACCCCAAAAAAAAAAUGAAAAGAAGUGUACCUG
rnacentral:misc_RNA from 1 species